AGCAGCCGCGGUAAUUCCAGCUCCAAUAGCGUAUAUUAAAGUUGUUGCAGUUAAAAAGCUCGUAGUUGAAUUUCGGGGUUAGUAGGUUGGUCAUGCCUCUGGUAUGUACUGGUCUCACUGAUUCCUCCUUCCUGAUGAACCUUAAUGCCAUUAAUUUGGUGUUUUGGGGAAUUUGGACUGUUACUUUGAAAAAAUUAGAGUGUUUAAAGCAAGCUAACGCUUGAAUACAUUAGCAUGGAAUAAUGAAAUAGGACGUUCGAUCCUAUUUUGUUGGUUUCUAGGAUUGACGUAAUGAUUAAUAGGGAUAGUUGGGGGCAUUAGUAUUCAAUUGUCAGAGGUGAAAUUCUUGGAUUUAUUGAAGACUAACUACUGCGAAAGCAUUUGCCAAGGAUGUUUUCAUUAAUCAAGAACGAAAGUUAGGGGAUCGAAGACGAUCAGAUACCGUCGUAGUCUUAACCAUAAACUAUGCCGACUAGGGAUCGGAUGAUGUCAAUUUUUUAAUGACUCA
rnacentral:rRNA from 1 species